ensembl:snRNA U6 U6 spliceosomal RNA
GUGCCGGCUUCAGCAGCACAUGAGUUAAAGUUGGAGCAACGUGGAGACCAUCUGCAUGCCCCCUGCACCAGGAUGACAUACAAGUUCAUGAAGUGUUCCAUAAUUAA